rnacentral:rRNA from 1 species
UACGGAGGGUGCAAGCGUUAUCCGGAUUCACUGGGUUUAAAGGGUGCGUAGGUGGGCUAGUAAGUCCGUGGUGAAAUCUCCAAGCUUAACUUGGAAACUGCCGUGGAUACUAUUAGUCUUGAAUAUUGUGGAGGUAAGCGGAAUAUGUCAUGUAGCGGUGAAAUGCUUAGAUAUGACAUAGAACACCGAUAGCGAAGGCAAUCCCCUGGACCUGUACUGACGCUCAUGCACGAAAGCGUGGGGAGCAAACAGG